rnacentral:rRNA from 1 species
AACGAACGCUGGCGGCAGGCUUAACACAUGCAAGUCGAGCGGGCCCUUCGGGGUCAGCGGCAGACGGGUGAGUAACACGUGGGAACGUACCUUUUGGUUCGGAACAACUCCGGGAAACUGGAGCUAAUACCGGAUAAGCCCUUAGGGGGAAAGAUUUAUCGCCAAAAGAUCGGCCCGCGUCUGAUUAGCUAGUUGGUGGGGUAACGGCCCACCAAGGCGACGAUCAGUAGCUGGUCGGAGAGGAUGAUCAGCCACACUGGGACUGAGACACGGCCCAGACUCCUACGGGAGGCAGCAGUGGGGAAUAUUGGACAAUGGGCGCAAGCCUGAUCCAGCCAUGCCGCGUGAGUGAUGAAGGCCUUAGGGUUGUAAAGCUCUUUUGUCCGGGAAGAUAAUGACUGUACCGGAAGAAUAAGCCCCGGCUAACUUCGUG